rnacentral:rRNA from 1 species
UACGGGGGGAGCAAGCGUUGUUCGGAUUUACUGGGCGUAAAGGGCGCGUAGGCGGCCUGUGCAAGUCAGUUGUGAAAUCUCCGAGCUUAACUCGGAACGGUCAACUGAUACUGCUCGGCUAGAGUGCGGAAGGGGCAACUGGAAUUCUUGGUGUAGCGGUGAAAUGCGUAGAUAUCAAGAGGAACACCUGCGGCGAAGGCGGGUUGCUGGGCCGACACUGACGCUGAGGCACGAAAGCGUGGGGAGCAAACAGG